rnacentral:rRNA from 1 species
UACGUAGGUGGCGAGCGUUGUCCGGAAUUACUGGGCGUAAAGCGUGCGUAGACGGUUACAUAAGUCGGGUGUGAAAGCCCCGGGCUCAACCUGGGAAUUGCAUUCGAGACUGCGUAGCUAGGGUGCGGAAGAGGGAAGCGGAAUUUCCGGUGUAGCGGUGAAAUGCGUAGAUAUCGGAAGGAACACCAGUGGCGAAAGCGGCUUCCUGGUCCAGCACCGACGUUCAGGCACGAAAGCGUGGGGAGCAAACAGG